rnacentral:rRNA from 1 species
UACGGGGGGGGCAAGCGUUGUUCGGAAUUACUGGGCGUAAAGGGCUCGUAGGCGGCCAACUAAGUCAGACGUGAAAUCUCCAGGCUCAACCUGGGAACUGCAUCCGAUACUGGAUGGCUUGAAUUCGGGAGAGGGAUGCAGAAUUCCAGGUGUAGCGGUGAAAUGCGUAGAUAUCUGGAGGAAUACCGGUGGCGAAGGCGGCAUCCUGGACCGGCAUUGACGCUGAUGAGCGAAAGCUAGGGGAGCAAACGGG